UACGUAGGUGGCAAGCGUUGUCCGGAUUUACUGGGCGUAAAGAGCGCGCAGGCGGUCGUUCAAGUCGCGUGUGAAAGCCCCCGGCUCAACUGGGGAGGGUCACGCGAUACUGAUCGACUCGAAGGCAGGAGAGGGUAGUGGAAUUCCCGGUGUAGUGGUGAAAUGCGUAGAUAUCGGGAGGAACACCAGUGGCGAAGGCGGCGACCUGGUCCGAUACUGACGCUGAGGCGCGAAAGCGUGGGGAGCAAACAGG
rnacentral:rRNA from 1 species